rnacentral:rRNA from 1 species
CAGUCGCCGCGGUAAUACAGAGGGUGCGAGCGUUAAUCGGAUUUACUGGGCGUAAAGCGUGCGUAGGCGGCUUCUUAAGUCGGAUGUGAAAUCCAUGAGCUUAACUUAGGAAUUGCAUUCGAUACUGGGAAGCUAGAGUAUGGGAGAGGAUGGUAGAAUUCCAGGUGUAGCGGUGAAAUGCGUAGAGAUCUGGAGGAAUACCGAUGGCGAAGGCAGCCAUCUGGCCUAAUACUGACGCUGAGGUACGAAAGCAUGGGGAGCAAACAGGAUUAGAUACCCCUGUAGUCCCUGUCUCUUAUAC